rnacentral:rRNA from 1 species
CCUACGGGCGGCAGCAGUGGGGAAUAUUGGGCAAUGGGCGCAAGCCUGACCCAGCAACGCCGCGUGAAGGAAGAAGGCUUUCGGGUUGGAAACUUCUUUUAUCAGGGACGAAGCAAGUGACGGUACCUGAUGAAUAAGCCACGGCUAACUACGUGCCAGCAGCCGCGGCAAUACGUAGGUGGCAAGCGUUAUCCGGAUUUACUGGGUGUAAAGGGCGUGUAGGCGGGAGUGCAAGUCAGAUGUGAAAACUAUGGGCUCAACCCAUAGCCUGCAUUUGAAACUGGACUUCUUGAGUGCUGGGGAGGCAAUCGGAAUUCCGUGUGUAGCGGUGAAAUGCGUAGAUAUACGGAGGAACACCAGUGGCGAAGGCGGAUUGCCGGACAGUAACUGACGCUGAGGCGCGAAAGCGUGGGGAGCAAACAGGAUUAGAUACCCCUGUAGUC